GAUGAACGCUGGCGGCGUGCCUAAUACAUGCAAGUCGAGCGAACGGACGAGAAGCUUGCUUCUCUGAUGUUAGCGGCGGACGGGUGAGUAACACGUGGAUAACCUACCUAUAAGACUGGGAUAACUUCGGGAAACCGUAGCUAAUCCCGGAUAAUCUUUUGAACCGCAUGGUUCAAAAGUGAAAGACGGUCUUGCUGUCACUUAUAGAUGGAUCCGCGCUGCAUUAGCUAGUUGGUAAGGUAACGGCUUACCAAGGCAACGAUGCAUAGCCGACCUGAGAGGGUGGUCGGCCACACGAGAACGGGAACGCGGUCCAGACUACUACGGGACGCAGCAGUAGGGAAUCGUACGCAAUGGGGGAAAGCCUGACGGAGCGACGCCGAGUGAGUGGUGAAGGUCUUCGGAGCGUAAAGCUCUGUUAUGGGGGAAGAACAGAUGUGGAAGUAACUGUGCACAGCUUGACGGUACCUAGUCAGAAAGCCACGGCUAACUACGUG
rnacentral:rRNA from 1 species